UACAGAGACCUCAAGCGUUAUCCGGAUUUAUUGGGCGUAAAGGGUCCGUAGGGGGCCGAAUAAGCUGAACGUUAAAGCUACCAGCUCAACUGGUAUUUUGCGUUCAGAACUGUUUGGCUAGAGCACGUCAGAGGUCAUUGGAACUCAUGGUGUAGGGGUGAAAUCCGUUGAUAUCAUGGGGAACACCAAAGGCGAAGGCAUUUGACUGGGGCGUUGCUGACCCUGAGGGACGAAAGCUAGGGUAGCGAAUGGG
rnacentral:rRNA from 1 species